GAUGAACGCUGGCGGCGUGCUUAACACAUGCCAGUCGAACGAAGCAUUUAAGACAGAUUACUUCGGUUUGAGGUCUUUUAUGACUGAGUGGCGGACGGGUGAGUAACGCGUGGGUAACCUGCCUCAUACAGGGGGAUAGCAGCUGGAAACGGCUGGUAAUACCGCAUAAGCGCACAGUACCACAUGGUACAGUGUGAAAAACUCCGGUGGUAUGAGAUGGACCCGCGUCUGAUUAGCUUGUUGGCGGGGUAACGGCCCACCAAGGCGACGAUCAGUAGCCGACCUGAGAGGGUGACCGGCCACAUUGGGACUGAGACACGGCCCAGACUCCUACGGGAGGCAGCAGUGGGGAAUAUUGCACAAUGGAGGAAACUCUGAUGCAGCGACGCCGCGUGAGUGAAGAAGUAGUUCGCUAUGUAAAGCUCUAUCAGCAGGGAAGAUAGUGACGGUACCUGACGAAGAAGCUCCGGCUAAAUACGUG
rnacentral:rRNA from 1 species